rnacentral:lncRNA from 1 species
UUCUUCGUAGAGUUUUGGGGAAGACUGUGGCAAUCGCUGCUGAAGUCAGUGUUGUAAUGGUGAAUCGGGAUUUUUAAAUGAAGUGGGUUUGAAUACUCUUGACUUUUUUGUGAAAUCGAGUUACGUCUGUGAUUGAAGGAUUAAAAGGGUGUCUAUAGGAUUGAGUAUGCGGAGUGAAUGAAAUUUAUUGGGUUAGUCUAACAAGACAGUCAGUGGAUACAAGAUCGUAAGUACAAAGCAGUAUUGAAGGUUAACAGUUUGGGUUGUACGGGGUUCUCUGUAACGUCUAGAGACCUACCGGCUGGGGCAAAAAGGACUUCGACAAGCAGUCGAAGAGCACCCGUAUAGAUUUACGGUACAUUGUUGCAGUCGUUUAUAUUCCAGCAGUCAAAAACUGAUAGACUGCUUGACUAUCGGUGAAUCUCCAUACUACCUUCUACAGCCAGACGUUCGGCGCGUUCUCGAGCAGGAAAGCACGUAAUACGACACCGGAGGAUGCACAAGUUCAGAGCGGGUGGAUGUCGUAUUGUAACACGAGUAUACCAUGAAAAUAUAAAGAAAGGGGACUUUUAUUAAUGUUCUAUUACCUCGAAUAUUGAGAGCAUCGACCAACUCUAGUGCAAAUACUGAGUGGCCAGGUUCAGUCACCCCGUUACAGUCAGCCGGGGCAUUCUGAAAUGCUCCAUUCGAUUCUAAUAACGGGAGUCAGCAGGAAGAGAAAGGACCAAUUCACACGACAGGUGAGCCUGGUUCGAAGAGCCAAUUGGAUCCAAUUUCAAGAAUCCAAUCUGGGUCCUCUUACCCAAUAUGAGACCUGAUUUGGUUGGGCAACCCAAUGCAGUCUAAUUACAGAAAAAUCCAUGUCUUACUACUGGCCUCAGCCAAUGUGACGCGAAGGACUAAUUUGAUCCAAUUACGGGGACAUCCGGGUCUUACUACUGGACUCUUAGCCAAUAUGAGACCUGAAUUGGUCGGGCGACGCAAUGUGGUCCUGAUUACGGGGUUUCGAUUCUGUUUCAAGCUGUCCUAUUCUCUGUGCCGUUUCAGGGAAUCUUAUUUUCGGUAAAAGGAUCUCUUAAAGGUAAAAACGGGGAAGAAAGCUCUGAUGGCGAGAGCCUAUUACGGAUCCAAGCUCUGACGGUAGGAGCCAAUUCCGGAUCUAAGACGGAAGAUUGAAGAAAUUCAGAGGAUAAGAUUAGGGGGGAGAAUAAGUUUUGGGGGAGUUUUGAAGGAUGGGAGGGAGCUAGCUUCAUGCUUCGGGCGGGGAAAGAAGACAGAGAAUUGGGUUUUUUUUCUUCAUAGGGUUUGGGAAGACUGAGGCAAUCGUUGCUGAAGUCAGUAUUGUAAUGGUGAAUCGGGAUUUUUAAUGAAGUGGGUUUGAUUACUCUUGACUGUUUUGUGAAAUCGAGUUACGUCGAUGAUGAAGAAUUAAAAGGGUGUCUAUAGGAUUGAGUAUGCGGAGUGAAUGAAAUUUAUUGGAUUAAUCUAACAAGACAAUCAGUAGAUACAAGAUCGUGAGUAUAAAGCGGUGUCGAAGAUUAGUAGUUUGGGUUGUUCG